CACAUGCAAGUCGAGCGCUCUCUUCGGAGGGAGCGGCAGACGGGUGAGUAACGCGUGGGAACCUGCUCAGGGGUACGGAAUAACUCAGGGAAACUUGUGCUAAUACCGUAUACGUCCCCCGGGAGAAAGAUUUAUCGCCCUUGGAUGGGCCCGCGUAAGAUUAGCUAGUUGGUGGGGUAAAGGCCUACCAAGGCUACGAUCUUUAGCUGUUCUGAGAGGAAGAUCAGCCACACUGGGACUGAGACACGGCCCAGACUCCUACGGGAGACAGCAGUGGGGAAUCUUGCACAAUGGGCGCAAGCCUGAUGCAGCCAUGCCGCGUGAGUGAUGAAGGCCCUAGGGUUGUAAAGCUCUUUCACCGGUGACGAUAAUGACGGUAGCCGGAGAAGAAGCCCCGGCUAACUUCGUGCCAGCAGCCGCGGUAAUACGACGGGGGCUAGCGUUGUUCGGAAUUACUGGGCGUAAAGCGCACGUAGGCGGAUAAUUAAGUUAGAGGUGAAAGCCCGGAGCUCAACUCCGGAACUGCCUUUGAUACUUGGUUUUAAUCUUUGAAGGUU
rnacentral:rRNA from 1 species